rnacentral:rRNA from 1 species
UACGGGGGGGGCAAGCGUUGUUCGGAAUUACGGGGCGUAAAGGGCUCGUAGGCGGCCAACUAAGUCGGACGUGAAAUCCCCAGGCUCAACCUGGGAACUGCGUCUGAUACUGGAUGGCUUGAAUCCGGGAGAGGGAUGCAGAAUUCCAGGUGUAGCGGUGAAAUGCGUAGAUAUCUGGAGGAAUACCGGUGGCGAAGGCGGCAUCCUGGACCGGCAUUGACGCUGAGGAGCGAAAGCUAGGGGAGCAAACGGG